GGCCCCGUAGCUUAGCCUGGUGGAGCAUUCGACUGAUAAUCGAAAGGUCCCGUGUUCAAAUCACGGCGGGGCCA
rnacentral:tRNA from 1 species